UACGAAGGGGCUAGCGUUGUUCGGAAUUACUGGGCGUAAAGCGCGCGUAGGCGGUGAUCCAUGUCAGAGGUGAAAGCCCGGGCUCAACUCCGGAAUUGCCUUGAAACGGGAUCGCUAGAGUCCGAGAGAGGAGGCGGAAUUCCAGUGUAGAGGUGAAUUCGUAGAUAGUUAGGAAGAACACCGGUGGCGAAGGCGCCAAUCUGGCUCGGUACUGACGCUCAGGCGCGAAGCGUGGGGAGCAAACAGGGAUUA
rnacentral:rRNA from 1 species